AUGGCUAACUACAAGACAAGUCGAGCGGUCAGAUGGGAGCUUGCUCCCUGAUGUUAGCGGCGGACGGGUGAGUAACACGUGGGUAACCUGCCUGUAAGACUGGGAUAACUCCGGGAAACCGGGGCUAAUACCGGAUGGUUGUUUGAACCGCAUGGUUCAAACAUAAAAGGUGGCUUCGGCUACCACUUACAGAUGGACCCGCGGCGCAUUAGCUAGUUGGUGAGGUAACGGCUCACCAAGGCAACGAUGCGUAGCCGACCUGAGAGGGUGAUCGGCCACACUGGGACUGAGACACGGCCCAGACUCCUACGGGAGGCAGCAGUAGGGAAUCUUCCGCAAUGGACGAAAGUCUGACGGAGCAACGCCGCGUGAGUGAUGAAGGUUUUCGGAUCGUAAAGCUCUGUUGUUAGGGAAGAACAAGUACCCGUUCGAAUAGGGCGGUACCUUGACGGUACCUAACCAGAAAGCCACGGCUUAACUACGUUGCCAGCAGCCGCGGUAAUACGUA
rnacentral:rRNA from 1 species